rnacentral:rRNA from 1 species
AUUGAACGCUGGCGGCAGGCUUAACACAUGCAAGUCGAGCGGUAGCACAGGGGAGCUUGCUCCCUGGGUGACGAGCGGCGGACGGGUGAGUAAUGUCUGGGAAACUGCCUGAUGGAGGGGGAUAACUACUGGAAACGGUAGCUAAUACCGCAUAACGUCGCAAGACCAAAGAGGGGGACCUUCGGGCCUCUUGCCAUCAGAUGUGCCCAGAUGGGCGUAGCUUGUAGGUGGGGUAAUGGCUCACCUAGGCGACGAUCCCUAGCUGGUCUGAGAGGAUGACCAGCCACACUGGAACUGAGACACGGUCCAGACUCCUGCGGGAGGCAGCAGUGGGGAAUAGUGGACAAUGGGCGCAAGCCUGAUGCAGCCAUGCCGCGUGUGUGAAGAAGGCCUUCGGGUUGUAAAGCACUUUCAGCGAGGAGGAAGGUGGUGAGCUUAAUACGUUCAUCAAUUGACGUUACUCGCAGAAGAAGCACCGGCUAACUCCGUG